GAUGAACGCUGGCGGCGUGCCUAAUACAUGCAAGUCGAGCGAACGGACGAGAAGCUUGCUUCUCUGAUGUUAGCGGCGGACGGGUGAGUAACACGUGGAUAACCUACCUAUAAGACUGGGAUAACUUCGGGAAACCGGAGCUAAUACCGGAUAAUAUUUUGAACCGCAUGGUUCAAUAGUGAAAGACGGUUUUGCUGUCACUUAUAGAUGGAUCCGCGCUGCAUUAGCUAGUUGGUAAGGUAACGGCUUACCAAGGCGACGAUGCAUAGCCGACCUGAGAGGGUGAUCGGCCACACUGGAACUGAGACACGGUCCAGACUCCUACGGGAGGCAGCAGUAGGGAAUCUUCCGCAAUGGGCGAAAGCCUGACGGAGCAACGCCGCGUGAGUGAUGAAGGUCUUCGGAUCGUAAAACUCUGUUAUUAGGGAAGAACAUAUGUGUAAGUAACUGUGCACGUCUUGACGGUACCUAAUCAGAAAGCCACGGCUAACUACGUG
rnacentral:rRNA from 1 species